GAGUUUGAUCCUGGCUCAGAGCGAACGCUGGCGGCAGGCCUAACACAUGCAAGUCGAGCGCCCCGCAAGGGGAGCGGCAGACGGGAGAGUAAUACGUGGGAACGUACCCUUUAGUUCGGAACAACCCAGGGAAACUUGGGCUAAUACCGGAUACGUCCGAAAGGAGAAAGAUUUAUCGCUGAAGGAUCGGCCCACGUCUGAUUAGCUAGUUGGUGAGGUAACGGCUCACCAAGGCGACGAUCAGUAGCUGGUCUGAGAGGAUGAUCAGUCACACUGGGACUGAGACACGGCCCAGACACCUACGGGUGGCAGCAGUCGAGAAUUUUUCUCAAUGGGGGAAACCCUGAAGGAGCGACGCCGCGUGGAGGAUGAAGGUCUUCGGGUUGUAAACUCCUGUCAUUUGGGAACAAGUGCCGGUACGUAACUGCUACCGGCUUGAUAGUACCAGAAGAGGAAGAGACGGCUAACUCUGUGCCAGCAGCCGCGGUAAUACAGAGGUCUCAAGCGUUGUUCGGAUUCAUUGGGCGUAAAGGGUGUGUAGGUGGCGCCGUAAGUCGGGUGUGAAAUUUUAGAGCUUAACUCUGAAACUGCAUUCGAUACUGCGGUGCUUGAGGACUGGAGAGGAGACUGGAAUUUACGGUGUAGCAGUGAAAUGCGUAGAUAUCGUAAGGAAGACCAGUGGCGAAGGCGGGUCUCUGGACAGUUCCUGACACUGAGACACGAAGGCCAGGGGAGCAAACGGGAUUAGAUACCCCGGUAGUCCUGGCAGUAAACGGUGCACGUUUGGUGUGGGAGGAUUCGACCCCUUCUGCGCCGGAGUUAACACGUUAAACGUGCCGCCUGGGGAGUACGGUCGCAAGAUUAAAACUCAAAGAAAUUGACGGGGGCCCGCACAAGCGGUGGAGUAUGUGGCUCAAUUCGAUGCAACGCGAAGAACCUUACCAGGCCUUGACAUGCAUCUCUAAGCUGGUGAAAGCCAGUGAGUCCCGAAAGGGACAAUUUGCACAGGUGCUGCAUGGCUGUCGUCAGCUCGUGUCGUGAGAUGUUGGGUUAAGUCCCGCAACGAGCGCAACCCUUGUGAACUGUUGCCACCGAGCCGAGAGGCUCGGGCACUCUGUUCAGACUGCCUCGCUUAAACGAGGAGGAAGGUGAGGACGACGUCAAGUCAGUAUGGCCCUUACGGCCUGGGCUGCACACGUACUACAAUGCCCAGUACAGAACGAUCCAAGACCGCGAGGUGGAGGAAAUCACCAAAACUGGGCCCAGUUCAGAUUGAAGUCUGCAACUCGACUUCAUGAAGCCGGAAUCGCUAGUAAUGGCGCAUCAGCUACGGCGCCGUGAAUACGUUCCCGGGCCUUGUACACAC
rnacentral:rRNA from 1 species